AUAUAUAAGCCUGUGAAGUGAAACAAGUUAAAAAUAAAUGUACUGUGGGUUCUGAUCUAUAUUGUUAGCAAUGGAAAGUAUUUAAGCAACCUCAAAUAAAAAAAUGUAUUGUUGUAGACUCCUGCAGAUUUGUCUGAUUUCUACUUGCUUGAUCAUGUCAUGGAGUGUCAUCGGUACCCAGGCAGUUGGUUCAAUCUCUUCACUCUUUAAUAUUACCUCUACAGUAACGACAGCACCCUCUAUCUACGACAAGGAUUCCAUUACCCUGUUCUACAAGACCUUCGCACCACUGUUUGUCACCUUUUUCACCAGCGGCUCCAUCUCUCAGCAAUGUUUCGGAAUUCUCGGCGCAGCUGCUGAUCCGUGGCUGUAGGCGAUCUUUCCCGUUUUCUUUAGUCUGGUCGACUCCAACCAUGAUGGCGUACUGACCCCAGCAGACAUAUCCCCACUCGUGGUUCUAAUAGUGUUUCUUAAUUUUCUCAUUAUGGGUGCAGAUACAGGGAAUGACUAUUCUAUAUCUCUGGCCGAGUUCACGGCGUUUUUAAACGUGGCGCCGUUCCAGCCAAACGAUGUCUACAAGAAUGCUCUGCUGGUGAUGUUCUCAGCUCUGGAUCUUGACCAUGACCAGAAACUAAGCUUCUUGGACAUCGUUCCUGUCAACAUUUUAGGUUGAGAGGUCAGAGGUGAAAGUCCAAAUAAGUUUCAAUUCAUGUAUAAAUAUUUUUUUUCUGUUUAUUAAACAUGACUGUAAAUUAAUGUACUGUAAACUGUAAAUAUUGGGAGAAUAAAGAAGUCCUGGGUUCGAAUUUCGGUGAACGCUGGGAUUUUUAAUCUCGGGAUAUUUUUAGGGCGCCCCUGCGUCCAGCCAUCUCUAAAUGAGUACCUGACUUUAGUGAGGGAAAGUAAAGGCGGUUGGGCGUUUGGUCAUUGUACUGGCCUCAUGACGCUUGCAGCGAAUUCAGAACAAAUUGUCCUACGAAAAACAAGACGAGAUUCUGCUACGUCUCUCUUGGGCGACUCCAUUGACUUCCGGUGAAUGUAAGAAUCGACUACACGGUGACCGCACUUUGCCAUCAGUACAUCUACAGUAAAUGAAUGCCCAUGUACCUUAAUGCACUGAUCACCUAAUAUGCCCUAUCUGAGAGCCCUAGCUAUAUUUAUCUUACUAUAUUUUAAGCCUUUUAUUUUGCCUGAAAAUAAUUUUUGUUUG